CAGGCAGCCUUGCAGUCAUCGGUCCAUGGAAACUGUCCGGACACCACGCCAAUCGUCUGUUCCCACAUGCGGGCCGCCGCACUCCUCUUGAGGAAUUCAGUACUGGUGGCUAAGGAAAGACACCUUCCCAUGUGGUUUCCCUCUGGAUGUUGUCCCCUUAAAUGAUGACGACAUGCUCCACAUCAGCAGCUGAUCGGACAGGAACAGGAUUCCUGGAGGAACAGGACAAAAACAAAUCCUUUCAGUCUCCAUGUGGCUCACUGGUACCUCUCUCAAGCACAUUCUUGGUUUGUCCACAGAUAACCCACUUGGCAUAAAGAGCGUCCACAUGAGAAGCUGCGCAAUCCACAUGUCAUAUGGUGAGAAAUGGGAACGUCUCAUGGUCUCCAAAAAAACAAGGAAAAAACAUUGACUUUCCACAGAGUACAGCGAUCCGUAUGAACAGGAAACAAUAACACUGCGCUUGCCUUUAGACAAGAAUCUAACAUUCAUGUGGGCUGUCGCUCCUGUCUUCACAGCCUCAUGUUCACCACAUCGACUUGAUCGGCCUUUGUGGUUUUCUUCUUUGCCAUGAGAAUAUACGUUUCAUAUUUCACAUUUCAGAUGGGCUUUUCACAAGAGCGUUAUUCAGUGGUUUCAUCAGUCCAGCGCACUUCCUUUGAAAACACCAAACAGACUUUGGGAACUCUGUGUUGUGAUGCUGAGAUUGUGACCC
ensembl:lncRNA